UGCCAGCCGCCGCGGUAAUACAGAGAGUGCAAACGUUGUUCGGAAUCACUGGGCUUAAAGCGCACGUAGGCGGCAUUGUAAGUGUCGGGUGAAAUCCCACGGCUCAACCCCGGAAGUGCAUUGGAAACUGGCGAACUUGAGUACGGGAGAGGAAAGUGGAAUUCCGAGUGUAGGGGUGAAAUCCGUAGAUAUUCGGAGGAACACCAGUGGCGAAGGCGGCUUUCUGGACCGAUACUGACGCUGAGACGCGAAAGCGUGGGGAGCAAACAGGAUUAGAUA
rnacentral:rRNA from 1 species